CCUACGGGCGGCUGCAGCUAAGAAUAUUCCGCAAUGGACGAAAGUCUGACGGAGCGACGCCGCGUGAACGAUGAAGGCCGCAAGGUUGUAAAGUUCUUUUCCAGAGGAAGAAUAAAGCCGACAGGGAAUGGUCGGAAGAUGACAUUAAUCUGGGAAUAAGCCCCGGCUAACUACGUGCCAGCAGCCGCGGUAAUACGUAGGGGGCAAACGUUGUUCGGAAUUAUUGGGCAUAAAGAGUGCGCAGGCGGUUAUACAAGUCUGGUGUUAAAUGGUUCGGCUUAACUGAAUCAUGCGCUGGAAACUGUAUGACUAGAGUUUAAGAGGGGAUAUUGGAAUUCCAGGUGUAGGGGUGAAAUCUGUAGAUAUCUGGAAGAACACCAAUGGCGAAGGCAAAUAUCUGGCUAUAAACUGACGCUGAGGCACGAAGGUGUGGGGAGCAAACAGGCUUAGAUACCCCAGUAGUC
rnacentral:rRNA from 1 species